rnacentral:rRNA from 1 species
GACGAACGCUGGCGGCAUGCCUAACACAUGCAAGUCGAACGAGACCUUCGGGUCUAGUGGCGCACGGGUGCGUAACGCGUGGGAACCUGCCCUUAGGUUCGGAAUAACUCCCCGAAAGGGGUGCUAAUACCGGAUAAUGUCUUCGGACCCAAGAUUUAUCGCCCUUGGAUGGGCCCGCGUUGGAUUAGCUAGUUGGUAGGGUAAAAGCCUACCAAGGCGAGGAUCCAUAGCUGGGCAGAGAGGAAGAGCAGCCACACUGGGACUGGGACCCGGCCCAGACUCCUACGGGAGGCAGCAGUGGGGGAUAUUGGACUAUGGGCUAAAUCCUGAUCCAGUAAUGCCUCGUGAGUGAUGAAGGCCUGAGGGUUGUAAAGCUCUUUUACCCGGGAUGAUAAUGACAGUACCGGGAGAAUAAGCUCCGGCUAACUCCGUG